rnacentral:lncRNA from 1 species
UCAAUACAAGCAACUCGAGAAUUUACCAUUAAUCUCACAAUCACACCAAGAAAUCAGACAUAAACACGAUAAAGCAACCACAAAAAGAAGCUAAAUAUGGCAAUAUCUCAUCAUAUCACUUCAAAUUUUCAAGCGAAAGCAAAUCACGACGAAUCAACUAGGGUUGCUAUUACGACGGAGGUAGCGGGGGAUCACCAUCUGACGGCAAUGGUAGGUGCAGACCAUCGGAUCAGACGGCUCGGCGGAGGCGAUGGGAACGGCGGCGCCGCCGCCGCCGUAGGUCACGAGGCGUCCCCCGCAGGAUCUGGAGCAGGAUCUGGAGCACCGCUGAUGGAGGUGUUAACCAGGAGAAGCCAUUAGGGCAAGGGAUCGAGGAGAGAAGCUAGGGUUUCGGCUUGGAUCGAGAGGGGGAGAGGGUGAGAGUAAGAGAGAGAGAGAGAAGGGGGGGAGGAUCCGAUCGAGGGGGAGGGGGAUCGAGAGAGGAGAGAGGAGCGGGGAGGGGGAGAGGGAGUGGGCGUGGGUUGAGACUUGAGAGAGGGCACGA